CAAGACCUCGCGCCUGAAGAGGAGCCCGCGCCCGAUGAGCUAGUGGGCGGGGUAAGAGCCCACCAAGGCUUCGAUCGGUAGCCGGCCUGAGAGGGCGGUCGGCCAGACUGGCACUGAGACACGGGCCAGACUCCUACGGGAGGCAGCAGUGGUUGAAUAUGGGCAAUGGGCGAAAGCCUGACCCAGCAACGCCGCGAGAAGGACGAAAUCCCUCUGGGAUGUAAACUUCGAGGUCUGGAAAGAAAUCGCGCAGGAUAAUACCCUGCGUGGAUGACGGUACCCGACGUAAGCCCCGGCUAACUACGUGCCAGCAGCCGCGGUAAUACGUAAAAGGCAAGCGUGGUUCGGAAUUAUUGGGCGUAAAGGGCGCGUAGGCGGCACAGCGGGUCGGGAGUGAAAGCCCGGGGCUCAACCCCGGAACUGCUUUCGAAACUGCUGAGCUAGAGUACAGAAGGGGCAACCGGAAUUCCCAGUGUAGCGGUGAAAUGCGUAGAUAUUGGGAAGAACACCUGAGGCGAAGGCGGGUUGCUGGGCUGAUACUGACGCUGAGGCGCGAAAGCCAGGGGAGCAAACGGGAUUAGAUACCCCGGUAGUCCUGGCCCUAAACGAUGGAUACUUGGUGUGUGGGGUUCUCUGAGUCCCCGCGUGCCG
rnacentral:rRNA from 1 species